AAGUAUGCGAUGAGGGAAAGAGUAUCCGGGUUAGUUUCGCCCAGAGAGCCGGCGGAUGGUGCAAGCCGGUGGAAUUGCCCGGUGAAAGGGGUUCCCGAGCCGCAGGAGGAACGCCGGUUUUAAUUUUAGCCGGUUAGUAAAGCCUGCACUUUUUAAAGUGGGCCGCCCGGUGUUGCCGGGGGUCAAACAGGGUGGAACCGCGGGAAAUACCUCCCGUCCCUGGC
rnacentral:ncRNA from 1 species